CCACUGUCAGAAAAACCUCCAAAGCAUUUUCAGACCGACAAAAAGUCCAGACUCUGGCUUCAAAACCAGCGUUCAUCCAAACGGACACCCAAACUCAGAGUGGUGCAGUAGUUCACGGCUGCGUAUUCAAUGACGGAGAGGAAGACAAACAGGAAGCUGGUCCACAGCAAAGACAGCUUAUAAAGGGGACAAACGUUAAAAUGCAGACAGACUUGUGGUACCUGCGGCAUGGAGGAGGAGACACCUGUGAUGAUGGUGGACAUGUCUGUUACCCAGAGACACCCGUGCAGGAACUGCCCUCCUGUCGAUCCAGAAGGAGACCCAGGAGAGAACCACCAUGAGCAUGGUGGGAAAUUCUACUGAAAUGAAACGUCUGCAGGGAUUUUCCAGAAUUACUCAAAACAAAAAGGAAGCAGAUCUCAAGCAUGUUACUCCAGCCUCCUCCAGCUCACGGAUAAGUAUAGCCCCCUAAUUCCACAUUUAGAAACCUUGGGGUUUUAUUUGACCAGGAUUUAUCAUUUAAGGCUCACAUAUCUCAGGUGUGUAGAACUGCCUUUUUUCACCUGCGGAA